AGAGUUUGAUCAUGGCUCAGAACGAACGCUGGCGGCAGGCUUAACACAUGCAAGUCGAGCGCCCCGCAAGGGGAGCGGCAGACGGGUGAGUAACGCGUGGGAAUCUACCCAUCUCUACGGAAUAACUCAGGGAAACUUGUGCUAAUACCGUAUACGCCCUUCGGGGGAAAGAUUUAUCGGAGAUGGAUGAGCCCGCGUUGGAUUAGCUAGUUGGUGGGGUAAAGGCCUACCAAGGCGACGAUCCAUAGCUGGUCUGAGAGGAUGAUCAGCCACAUUGGGACUGAGACACGGCCCAAACUCCUACGGGAGGCAGCAGUGGGGAAUAUUGGACAAUGGGCGCAAGCCUGAUCCAGCCAUGCCGCGUGUGUGAUGAAGGCCUUAGGGUUGUAAAGCACUUUCACCGGAGAAGAUAAUGACGGUAUCCGGAGAAGAAGCCCCGGCUAACUUCGUGCCAGCAGCCGCGGU
rnacentral:rRNA from 1 species